CGAGAAACCAAAAAACAGAAUAAGACAACAACGGCCGUUAAAUAAAAAAAUAUUCAAAAAGGCAGAAAAUCAGUUAAAAUAUAGCAAUUUUAACUCAAUUUUGAAAUGGUUUUUAUCCAAUCCAUUGAUUUAACAAGUCGCAUAACUUUUUAGGCUAAUAUUCAGUACCACAAUAACUCUGCAUCUAUCAACGGAUUAUUUGUAGGUGUAGGGCCACCUAUG
rnacentral:lncRNA from 1 species